rnacentral:rRNA from 1 species
CACCUCUAGCAUUACCAGUAUUAGAGGCACCGCCUGCCCAGUGACACAUGUUCAACGGCCGCGGUACCCUAACCGUGCAAAGGUAGCAUAAUCACUUGUUCCUUAAAUGGGGACUUGUAUGAAUGGCUCCACGAGGGUUCAGCUGUCUCUUACUUACAACCAGUGAAAUUGACCUGCCCGUGAAGAGGCGAGCAUAACCUAACAAGACGAGAAGACCCUAUGGAGCUUUAGUCUAUCAGUGCAAACAACACCCGACUAAGCCAACAGGCCAUAAACUGCCAAAUCUGCAUCGAAGACUUCGGUUGGGGCGACCUCGGAGCACAACCUAACCUCCGAGCAGUACAUGCUAAGACCAUACAAGUCGAAGCAAACUUCCACAUGCAAUUGACCCAAUAAUUUGAUCAACGGAACAAGUUACCCUAGGGAUAACAGCGCAAUCCUAUUCUAGAGUCCAUAUCAACAAUAGGGUUUACGACCUCGAUGUUGGAUCAGGACAUCCCGAUGGUGCAGCCGCUAUCAAAGGUUCGUUUGUUCAACGAUUAAAGUCCU